AGGGGCCCUGCAAGUAUAAAAAUGUUUGUUUUGCAGCAGGGACAGGGUAAAAAGCCUCCCUGCCAAGCUAAUUGUUUUUGUUUAAUUGUUUAAUUGUUUAAUUGUAUUAUUAUUUGCUAAUUGUUUUAUUGUUUUGGCAGGUGGCUCGUUAUUGUAAAUUAGAGCCAACUGCCAAUAUUUAAGGAGAACAGUCAGUCUGCUCGAGGACUCUACUGUGUGAAGAGCUUGACUGUGUGUCGUUCGUAUUGCAAAAAGUUGAAGAUGUUUAUUUGUGGAAGGCAGUUUGAGAUUAAAAGUGUGUGAGUCCUCGUGCACACCCCCUGCAGCUGUUGAAAGCCACCCAGCAACGAAACCCAAGCGCAUGGCCGUGAUCUUCUGAGGUGGCGAGUGCUCCUGCUGUAUCCUGCAGAAUCUGUGCCAGGACCGUAAGGAGGUGUUCAGGCAAGCAGAGGAACAGCUACCUCAGCCUCCAGCAAGAAUUGCACAACAGCGAUAUGAAGAGGGUCCUGCUAUUAGAGAUGCACGGCUAUCUUAAUUUUUGUAACCUGUGUACUUUUAUUUUGUAUCACAUUUUUGUUUCAUUAGCUUAUUUUGCAUCUCUUUAUACCAAAUAUAGCAUCCUCAUUUGCGCUGUACUUGUA